rnacentral:misc_RNA from 1 species
GAAAUGCGAUAAGUAAUGUGAAUUGCAGAAUUCAGUGAAUCAUCGAAUCUUUGAACGCACCUUGCGCUCCUUGGUAUUCCUUGGAGCAUGCCUGUUUGAGUAUCAUGAAAUCUUCAAAGUAAAUCUUUUGUUAACUCAAUUGGUUUCUACUUUGGUAUUGGAGGUCUUUGCAGCUUCACACCUGCUCCUCUUUGUUCAUUAGCUGGAUCUCAGUGUUAUGCUUGGUUCCACUCGGCGUGAUAAGUUAUCUAUCGCUGAGGACACUUUAAAAGGUGGCCAAGGUAAAUGCAGAUGAACCGCUUCCAAUAGUCCAUUGACUUGGACAAUACUUUUAUGAUCUGAUCUCAAAUCAGGUAGGACUACCCGCUGAACUUAAGC